rnacentral:rRNA from 1 species
GCGUGAAGGAAGAAGGCUUUCGGGUUGUAAACUUCUUUGACGAGGGACGAAACAAAUGACGGUACCUCGAAAACAAGCCACGGCUAACUACGUGCCAGCAGCCGCGGUAAUACGUAGGUGGCAAGCGUUGUCCGGAUUUACUGGGUGUAAAGGGCGCGUAGGCGGGAUGGCAAGUCAGAUGUGAAAUACCGGGGCUUAACCUCGGGGCUGCAUUUGAAACUGCUAUUCUUGAGUGAUGGAGAGGCAGGCGGAAUUCCUAGUGUAGCGGUGAAAUGCGU